GUAUUACUAGGUAUAAUAUAUAGAUAUCAGACUUAGGAUCUGGUGCCGCAAGGUGUGAAGGUUCAAGUCCUUUCAUCCGCACCA
rnacentral:tRNA from 1 species